rfam:Habropoda laboriosa contig4909, whole genome shotgun sequence.
AAAACGGCCCUUUUCAGGGCCACAAAUUUUUCAAAACUUGCGAAC